rnacentral:snoRNA from 1 species
AGUCCAACUCUAUGCUAGUCGGCUUAUAAUCCAUGCUGCUCUGAGCAUAAUCAUUUGAAUGGACUAAUAUUAAAUAGAAGGUUUUAAUAUCCUAGUGCCUGAAGAUUUGAAAUCUCUUCUUGCUCUCUUGGAACUUAAAACUACAAUA